GACGAACGCUGGCGGCGUGCCUAAUACAUGCAAGUAGAACGCUGAAGAGAGGAGCUUGCUCUUCUUGGAUGAGUUGCGAACGGGUGAGUAACGCGUAGGUAACCUGCCUUGUAGCGGGGGAUAACUAUUGGAAACGAUAGCUAAUACCGCAUAACAAUGGAUGACACAUGUCAUUUAUUUGAAAGGGGCAAUUGCUCCACUACAAGAUGGACCUGCGUUGUAUUAGCUAGUAGGUGAGGUAAUGGCUCACCUAGGCGACGAUACAUAGCCGACCGGAGAGGGUGAUCGGCCAAACUGGGACUGAGACACGGCCCAGACUCCUACGGGAGGCAGCAGUAGGGAAUCUUCGGCAAUGGGGGCAACCCUGACCGAGCAACGCCGCGGGAGUGAAGAAGGUUCUCGGAUCGUAAAGCUCUGUUGUAAGUCAAGAACGGGUGUGAGAGUGGAAAGUUCACACUGUGACGGUAGCUUACCAGAAAGGGACGGCUAACUACGUG
rnacentral:rRNA from 1 species